AGCCUACGGGAGGCAGCAGUGGGGGAUAUUGCACAAUGGGGGAAACCCUGAUGCAGCGACGCCGCGUGUGGGAAGACGGUCCUCUGGAUUGUAAACCACUGUCCCCAGGGACGAAGAUGACGGUACCUGACUAAGAAGCCCCGGCUAACUACGUGCCAGCAGCCGCGGUAAUACGUAGGGGGCAAGCGUUAUCCGGAUUUACUGGGUGUAAAGGGAGCGUAGACGGCAGUGCAAGUCCGGAGUGAAAGCCCGGGGCUCAACCCUGGGACUGCUCUGGAAACUGUAAAGCUGGAGUGCGGGAGGGG
rnacentral:rRNA from 1 species